CCUACGGGAGGCAGCAGUAAGGAAUAUUGGUCAAUGGACGCAAGUCUGAACCAGCCAUGCCGCGUGAAGGAUUAAGGUCCUCUGGAUUGUAAACUUCUUUUAUAUGGGACGAAAACAGAUCUUUCUAGGUCCUUUGACGGUACCAUAUGAAUAAGCACCGGCUAACUCCGUGCCAGCAGCCGCGGUAAUACGGAGGGUGCAAGCGUUAUCCGGAUUCACUGGGUUUAAAGGGUGCGUAGGCGGGUAGGUAAGUCAGUGGUGAAAUCCUGGAGCUCAACUCCAGAACUGCCAUUGAUACUAUCUAUCUUGAAUAUUGUGGAGGUAAGCGGAAUAUGUCAUGUAGCGGUGAAAUGCUUAGAUAUGACAUAGAACACCCAUUGCGAAGGCAGCUUACUACGCAUAUAUUGACGCUGAGGCACGAAAGCGUGGGGAUCAAACAGGAUUAGAUACCCUGGUAGUCCACGCCCUAAACGAUGGAUACUCGACAUACGACGAUACACAGUGUGUGUCGUGNGACGAAGACGAUUAAGUAUACCUUACCGUUACGGUAAGUUACGUUACGUCGAGAGAGAACGUUACGAAGAAGUUAGACGGACGUUGAGACGNGCGACGGACGACGACGAGGGAGGUUAGG
rnacentral:rRNA from 1 species